UACGUAGGGGGCAAGCGUUGUCCGGAAUCAUUGGGCGUAAAGCGCGUGUAGGCGGCCCGGUAAGUCCGCUGUGAAAGUCCAGGGCUCAACCCUGGAAUGCCGGUGGAUACUGUCGGGCUCGAGUCCGGAAGAGGCGAGUGGAAUUCCUGGUGUAGCGGUGAAAUGCGCAGAUAUCAGGAGGAACACCGAUGGCGAAGGCAGCUCGCUGGGACGUGACUGACGCUGAGACGCGAAAGCGUGGGGAGCAAACAGG
rnacentral:rRNA from 1 species